GACCCAAAUUUAAAGUAAAGAAGAUUAGAAGGAUCAUUUGACCCUACUAAACUACUCUGCUUCUAGUUUGUGUCC
rnacentral:pre_miRNA from 1 species